AUUGAACGCUGGCGGCAUGCCUUACACAUGCAAGUCGAACGGCAGCGCGGACUUCGGUCUGGCGGCGAGUGGCGAACGGGUGAGUAAUACAUCGGAACGUACCCUGUUGUGGGGGAUAACUAGUCGAAAGAUUAGCUAAUACCGCAUACGACCUGAGGUGAAAGUGGGGGACCGGAAACGGCCUCAUGCAGCAGGAGCGGCCGAUGUCUGAUUAGCUAGUUGGUGGGGUAAAGGCCCACCAAGGCGACGAUCAGUAGCUGGUCUGAGAGGACGAUCAGCCACACUGGGACUGAGACACGGCCCAGACUCCUACGGGAGGCAGCAGUGGGGAAUUUUGGACAAUGGGGGCAACCCUGAUCCAGCAAUGCCGCGUGUGUGAAGAAGGCCUUCGGGUUGUAAAGCACUUUUGUCCGGAAAGAAAUCGCGCUGGUUAAUACCUGGCGUGGAUGACGGUACCGGAAGAAUAAGCACCGGCUAACUACGUG
rnacentral:rRNA from 1 species